rnacentral:lncRNA from 1 species
AAGAGAAUGGCAUGAACCCGGGAGGCGGAGUUUGCAGUGAGCCAAGAUCGCGCCACUGCACUCCAGCCUGGGUGAUAGAGCGAGACUCCAUCUCAAAAAAAAAAAAAGAAAAAAAAUCAGCAUGCCAAUUUUCGCCUUGUGUGCAUAUGAACGGCAAAAGGUGAAAAUAUAAAAAUGUUUAUUCAGAGCUCAAAGUCACAGGAAGUCUGAUCAAGACAUUAAGACACACUCAGCAGUCAGGUUAUUCUUCCCGCCUCCGUUUGGGAGUUUGACAUUUAGAAUUUCUGUCAUCCUCAGUGACAUUUCGGUCUUGGCACCUUCUCCCGUCCUGACACUGUUGCCUGAGUUGGUGUUCACAUGCCUGCAGCAGAUGACAAGCUAGUCACCUUUCUCUGUGUGGCCAUUAACCUUUGUUUUCACAAUCAUCCUAUGAGUGAGCCAUUGUUAUUCUUUUACAGAUGAGAAAACAGGUUCAGAGAGGCAAAGUGACGUUUCUGGGUGCUGGCUGAUAAUGGCAGGUCUGGGUCCUCUUGCAGCCCAGCCUGGUGCCAUUCCUGCCACAUCACGACUACCUCCUUCUCUGCAUUGGUGCCACUCUGCUGUGCCCAGCAUCCAGCACUUCCUAAAGACCAAUGCUUCCCAAAGUGUGGUCUUCGGAACAGCAGCAUCUGCCUCACUGGGGAAUUUGUUAAAAAUGCAGAUUCUGGGGCUCCACUCAGACUUACUGAGUUGGAAACUCUAGGAGUGGGGCCCAGAAGUGUGUGUUUUUUGUUUGUUUUGGUUUUUCUGAGAGGAGGUCUUGCUGGAAUGCAGAGGCACAAUCAUGGCUCACGGCAGACUUGAACUCCUGGGCUCAAGCAAUCCUCCGGCCUCAGCCUCCUGAGUAGCUGGGACUACAGGCACACACUACCACAUCCAGCUAAUUUAAAAAACAUUUUUAUAGAGAUGAGAGUCUCAGUAUGUUUCCCAGGCUGGUCUCGAACUCCUGGCCUCAAGUGAUCCUCCUGCCUUGGCCUCCCAAAGUGCUGGGAUUACAGGCGCAAGCCACAGUGCCCGGCAGCAAUCUGUGUUUUAACACGCUCUCCAGAUGCUUUUGAUACACACUCAAGUGUGAGAACCACUGCCAAAGAAGAUGCUAAUACGAGUUUGCUGAAUUACCCUGAUUUUUGAGUGGAAUCUGAGGGAACCAUGCCAUGAUGCACAGGACAGAAUAAAUAAAGCAUUAUGAUGGCCAGGCAUGGUGGCUCAAGCCUGUAAUCCCAGCACUUUGGGAGGCCGAGACGGGCGGAUCACGAGGUCAGGAGUUCGAGACCAGCCUGGCCAACAUGGUGAAUCCCCGUCUGUACUAAAAAUACAAAAAAAUUAGCCAGGUGUGGUGGUGGGUGUCUGUAAUCCCAGCUACUCAGGAGGCUGAGGCAGGAGAAUUGCUUGAACCUGGGAGGUGGAGAUUGCAGUGAGCCAAGAUCUCACCAUUGCACUCCAGCCUAGGCGACAAGAGCGAGACUCCGUCGGCAUUAUGUCUGUGGCGUGCAUUGUUAUUGCUAUUUUCUUAUGCAGAAAAGCCAUACACACAGCCAGGCAUGGUGGCUCAUGCCUGUAACCCUAGCACUUUGGGAAGCUGAGGCAAGUGGAUUGCUUGAGUCCAUAAGUUUGAGACCAGCCUGGGCAACAUGGCUAAACCCCAUCUCUACAGGCAUCUCCAUGACAACUCUGCGACAUACGUACUAUUGGAGUUCCCCUUCUACAAAUGAAGAAACUGAGGCUGGAGAGAAUGCAUACACUGGUAUCUGUUGAGAGCUACUGUGAGCCUGGCGUUCUACACACACUGUCUCAUCGGCUGAACAUUCACGGCAGCACUAUGAGGUCUUGCUACUGUGAGGCAGGCAUCCCUCUUCCCAUUUUACAGAUGAGCACACUGAGGCUCUGCCCCAGUCAUGCAGUCCCACAGCUUCUACUGAAUGCCCGGCUGAAAUGCAGCUAC